rnacentral:rRNA from 1 species
GAUGAACGCUGGCGGCGUGCCUAAUACAUGCAAGUCGAGCGAACGGACGAGAAGCUUGCUUCUCUGAUGUUAGCGGCGGACGGGUGAGUAACACGUGGAUAACCUACCUAUAAGACUGGGAUAACUUCGGGAAACCGGAGCUAAUACCGGAUAAUAUUUUGAACCGCAUGGUUCAAAAGUGAAAGACGGUCUUGCUGUCACUUAUAGAUGGAUCCGCGCUGCAUUAGCUAGUUGGUAAGGUACGGCUUACCAAGGCAACGAUGCAUAGCCGACCUGAGAGGGUGAUCGGCCACACUGGAACUGAGACACGGUCCAGACUCCUACGGGAGGCAGCAGUAGGGAAUCUUCCGCAAUGGGCGAAAGCCUGACGGAGCAACGCCGCGUGAGUGAUGAAGGUCUUCGGAUCGUAAAACUCUGUUAUUAGGGAAGAACAUAUGUGUAAGUAACUGUGCACAUCUUGACGGUACCUAAUCAGAAAGCCACGGCUAACUACGUG